CAGUCGUACCGGCGGGUAAUCAGCCUUUCGGGUAUGAUUCUGUGGAGCGUGAGGAGUUAAACGCCUUCAUGCCUGCAUAUUCGUGUACUUUGGGUGUACUUGCCUGUGUGGUUAGUUAACAUCAAUUUUGGUUAUCAUAAAAUGGUUGGAGGAAUGUAGCUUCGAUCUCGUAUUGAAGUGUUAUAGCCUUCGGCAGAUGUGAUGAUCGAGAUUGAGGACUGCAGCACGCCUUUGGUAGGGGUUCGCCCACUCCACGUGCUUAGGAUGCUGGCGUAAUGGCUUUAAACGCCCAUCUUGAAACACGGACCAAGGAGUCUAACAUGUGUGCG
rnacentral:rRNA from 1 species